GUGCUUGCUUCAGCAGCACAUAUACUAAAAAUGGAACAAUACAGAGAAGAUUAGCAUGGCCCCUGUGCAAGGAUGACAUGCAAAUUCGUGAAGCGUUCCGUAUUUUU
rnacentral:snRNA from 1 species